UUCUAUGUGUUUAUUUAUGUUAGAUAUUUUGUUCUCCCUCUUGUUAGGUCAGCUUUAGUUAUUGUUUACAUCUUUGUUUGUCCUCAUGUUCCCUGCUUGGUUCUAGUUAAUUCAGUCAGUGUGGUUUUAGGUUUGUUUACUUUUGUAAUCAGGGUUUCCUUAUGGGUUUUUUGUUUAUACUUAGGUUGCCAGUUCUUAGGUUGUUGUUGUUGUUGUUCUUCUGUUUCCUCCAGUUUCUCUGUUUCUUUCAGUUCUUGGUUAUUCUAGAUUUCUUAUGCUUCUUUUGGUUAUUUUAUAUUUGUCUAUGGUUUUGCUUAGGUCUGUAUCUCCUUAUUGUUAUUAGUCCUUUUCCUCAUGUUUUAGUCUUCAUAUUAGGUUCACCUGCUCCCUCUGUCUCCCCUCAACCAUGUCACACCUGUUCCCUGUUUCUUUGAUUAGCUGCCCUUUGUUACCCUCUCAUGUCUCUCUGUAUAUUAGUUGGUCUGUGUUCUUUGUUCCCCGCUGGUUCCUUCUGUACGUUCACACUCUGUUCGGCCCGUUCCCUACACCAGGACUAAGUUCCGUGUUUGCUUCGUUCCUGCAAAGAGUACUCAUGUCUCUGACGGGGUCACAGCUGUAUCCAUUUUACUGAACUGGGUUGCUCAGAAGGAUGAAGCUGGACUCGCCCUUGCGAAAUGUACAAUGGCAGUGUUUGUCAUCAGAUGGCGAAGAGGACACUCUACAAGCGCCAUAUGACAUUGGGAUUGUCAUUGAAGGUGUGAAAGUCCUUAAUGAGUUGCCAUCAAUCGCACAUGCAUGUGCUAUGGUAUUUGGCUUGAUCUAUACGCUCAACUUGAGCUAUCCUGUAGAGCUCAAAUACACCUUUGAUGCACUGCAAAAACUUCAUGGAGAUAGAACCAAAGAAAAGGACACGUAGAGUCUGUAGUCUCAGUAUCAAGCUCUAAGCUUUAGAUCAUUCACAGAGACAUUUGGACUCUGCCUUUUGUCUUUUAUAGUUUAUUUGCAUUCACAUACACUCUAGGGAAGUGUUAAAUAAUUUUUGUCAGUUGCAUCGAGAAGGAACAGACCUUUAAAGACAAACUAAGUAUCUGUCUUCUUUUUUUUAAUUGUUAAAAUGGUUCUGUCUGUCAUUCAUCUUAGACAUGUUUGCACGGUGUUCUAAAUGUUAUUGUUAAAGCUGUUACAUUACCAAUCUCAACUUUGUGUGAGUGAGAUGUUCAAAUUGAGUGUAUUUAUGAAGAAGUGUGACAACAAGUUUAUUGAUGAAGGUAGGGUAGGUAUUGGAAGGACAAUCACUUCGCCUAAUGUUUGGUGUAUUUUUAUUUUAUUUCCAUUUUUUUAGCAAGUACUGUGUAAAUAACACGGAAGUGCUUUACUUUUUAUUGUACUUUUUUUUGUACAUGAAAAAGUAUUUGUUCAAAAAACACCAUAAUAUAUGGGGAGACAUUAUCUUUAUUUCUAGCAUGUUGAUUUUGAAAAUAUCUUGGUUUUAAGAAAUUCUUUGUUUUUUGUAAAAUGAGAGCUUUGUGAAUUUGAAGAAAUAAAG